GACUUUUACGUCCACACUAAAACUGCAGCAGUGAACUCACGCCGUUGUGGUAUUCAAUUGGACCAUAAUAUAAUUAUGAUUUACUAUUCCUCUUAAGGGUAUCGUCUCAAAGAUAUAAACCUUAAUAAAGUCAAAAACCAACAGAACAAAACU
rfam:Drosophila busckii chromosome X sequence.